rnacentral:snRNA from 1 species
UACUAGUGUUUCUCCUCAUAAUCGAAUGAAUCUUUUAUCUUUUACUAAAGAUUCACAUGGGGAGGAAAAAGCAUGACAGCUUGCCUCAAUUCUUUGAAGGCUUGUGGGAAUAAACAAGGCU